AUGCAGUCGAGCGAACAGACAAGGAGCUUGCUCCUUUGACGUUAGCGGCGGACGGGUGAGUAACACGUGGGUAACCUACCUAUAAGACUGGGAUAACUUCGGGAAACCGGAGCUAAUACCGGAUAAUAUUUCGAACCGCAUGGUUCGAUAGUGAAAGAUGGUUUUGCUAUCACUUAUAGAUGGACCCGCGCCGUAUUAGCUAGUUGGUAAGGUAACGGCUUACCAAGGCGACGAUACGUAGCCGACCUGAGAGGGUGAUCGGCCACACUGGAACUGAGACACGGUCCAGACUCCUACGGGAGGCAGCAGUAGGGAAUCUUCCGCAAUGGGCGAAAGCCUGACGGAGCAACGCCGCGUGAGUGAUGAAGGUCUUCGGAUCGUAAAACUCUGUUAUUAGGGAAGAACAUACGUGUAAGUAACUAUGCACGUCUUGACGGUACCUAAUCAGAAAGCCACGGCUAACUACGUGCCAGCAGCCGCGGUAAUACGUAGGUGGCAAGCGUUAUCCGGAAUUAUUGGGCGUAAAGCGCGCGUAGGCGGUUUUUUAAGUCUGAUGUGAAAGCCCACGGCUCAACCGUGGAGGGUCAUUGGAAACUGGAAAACUUGAGUGCAGAAGAGGAAAGUGGAAUUCCAUGUGUAGCGGUGAAAUGCGCAGAGAUAUGGAGGAACACCAGUGGCGAAGGCGACUUUCUGGUCUGUAACUGACGCUGAUGUGCGAAAGCGUGGGGAUCAAACAGGAUUAGAUACCCUGGUAGUCCACGCCGUAAACGAUGAGUGCUAAGUGUUAUGGGGUUUCCGCCCCUUAGUGCUGCAGCUAACGCAUUAAGCACUCCGCCUGGGGAGUACGACCGCAAGGUUGAAACUCAAGGGAAUUGACGGGGACCCGCACAGCGG
rnacentral:rRNA from 1 species